GCGUGGUGUAAGGCGAACAUCGCUGCCCGGAAAGCAGAAGAUGCGGGUUCGAGUCCCGCCUGGCGCA
rnacentral:tRNA from 1 species